rnacentral:rRNA from 1 species
AUUGAACGCUGGCGGCAGGCUUAACACAUGCAAGUCGAACGAGUGGCGGACGGGUGAGUAAUGUAUGGGGAUCUGCCCGAUAGAGGGGGAUAACUACUGGAAACGGUGGCUAAUACCGCAUACUAUUGGAUGAACCCAUAUGGGAUUAGCUAGUUGGUGGGGUAAAGGCUCACCAAGGCGACGCUCCGUAGCUGGUUUGAGAGGACGACCAGCCACACUGGGACUGAGACACGGCCCAGACUCCUACGGGAGGCAGCAGUGGGGAAUUGUGCACAAUGGGCGAAACCCUGAUCCAGCCAUCCCGCGUGUAUGAUGAAGGCCUUCGGGUUGUAAAGUACUUUCAGCAGGGAGGCGUUACCCGCAGAAGAAGCACCGGCUAACUCCGUGCCAGCAGCCGCGGUAAUUC